rnacentral:rRNA from 1 species
CAGUCGCCGCGGUAAUACGUAGGGUGCGAGCGUUAAUCGGAAUUACUGGGCGUAAAGCGUGCGCAGGCGGUUCGUUAAGACAGAUGUGAAAUCCCCGGGCUUAACCUGGGAACUGCAUUUGUGACUGACGGGCUAGAGUAUGGCAGAGGGGGGUAGAAUUCCACGUGUAGCAGUGAAAUGCGUAGAGAUGUGGAGGAAUACCGAUGGCGAAGGCAGCCCCCUGGGCCAAUACUGACGCUCAUGCACGAAAGCGUGGGGAGCAAACAGGAUUAGAUACCCCCGUAGUCCCUGUCUCUUAUAA